rnacentral:sRNA from 1 species
CAAACAAGAUGUUUGGGACAAAUCCCAGUGGGAAAGUUUGCUUAGCGCGGACUACCAAACACUCUGGCC